UACGUAGGGUGCAAGCGUUGUCCGGAAUUAUUGGGCGUAAAGAGCUCGUAGGUGGUUUGUCGCGUUGUUCGUGAAAAACUCACAGCUCAACUGUGGGCGUGCGGGCGAUACGGGCAGACUUGAGUACUGCAGGGGAGACUGGAAUUCCUGGUGUAGCGGUGGAAUGCGCAGAUAUCAGGAGGAACACCGGUGGCGAAGGCGGGUCUCUGGGCAGUAACUGACGCUGAGGAGCGAAAGCGUGGGGAGCGAACAGG
rnacentral:rRNA from 1 species